UACUACCGAAGCUACGGCAUCAGUAAUGAUGGGUAGGGGAGCUUCCCAUACGGGUUGAAGCAUGACCGUAAGGACAUGUGGACAGUAUGGGAGUGAGAAUGUUGGCAGGAGUAGCGAGAUGUGGGUGAGAAUCCCACAGGCCGUAAACCCAAGGUUUCCAGGGGAAGGUUCGUCCGCCCUGGGUUAGUCGGGACCUAAGCUGAGGCCGAAAGGCGUAGGUGAUGGACAACAGGUU
rnacentral:rRNA from 1 species